AUUGAACGCUGGCGGCAGGCUUAACACAUGCAAGUCGAGCGGUAGAGGGGAGCUUGCUUCCCUUGAGAGCGGCGGACGGGUGAGUAAUGCCUAGGAAUCUGCCUGGUAGUGGGGGACAACGUUCGGAAACGGACGCUAAUACCGCAUACGUCCUACGGGAGAAAGUGGGGGAUCUUCGGACCUCACGCUAUCAGAUGAGCCUAGGUCGGAUUAGAUAGUUGGUAGGGUAAAGGCCUACCAAGGCGACGAUCCGUAACUGGUAUGAGAGGAUGAUCAGUCACACUGGAACUGAGACACGGUCCAGACUCCUACAGGAGGCAGCAGUGGGGAAUAUUGGACAAUGGGCGCAAGCCUGAUCCAGCCAUGCCGCGUGUGUGAAGAAGGUCUUCGGAUUGUAAAGCACUUUAAGUUGGGAGGAAGUUCAGUAAGUUAAUACCUUGUUGAAUUGACGUUACCGACAGAAUAAGCACCGGCUAACUCUGUGCCAGCCGCCGUGGUAA
rnacentral:rRNA from 1 species